rnacentral:rRNA from 1 species
GUGCCAGCCGCCGCGGUACUACCGGCAGCCCGAGUGAUGGCCGAUCUUAUUGGGCCUAAAGCGUCCGUAGCUGGCUGCGCAAGUCCGUAGGGAAAUCCACUCGCCCAACGAGUGGGCGUCCGACGGAAACUGCACAGCUUGGGACCGGAAGGCUCGAAGGGUACGUUCGGGGUAGGAGUGAAAUCCCAUAAUCCCGCACGGACCACCGAUGGCGAAAGCACUUCGAGAAAACGGAUCCGACAGUGAGGGACGAAAGCUGGGAUCUCGAACCGGAUUAGAAACCCUUGUAGUCC